GUGCAGCCACUUAAGCCCACCAUGGUAUUUCCCUGGUUGGGACCCAGAGUGCUGGAAACAGCAAGCACCCUCCUUAGUAGUAUCUGCAGCCCAGGACUUCUGUGUGCUGUUCUAAGGACCUUGGAGACCAGU
ensembl:snoRNA SNORA70 Small nucleolar RNA SNORA70